rnacentral:rRNA from 1 species
UCUCAAUUUGGUGGGAGAUGAAUCUGUAUUUUUCUAAAAAAUUAAACAAAGAUUUUCAUAAUUUUAUAAGUUGUUGAUAAAAUUAUAUAAACUGUAGGUUAUUAUUAGAAAUUCAGAAGAGUAAAAUUAUAGUGCCAGCAUUCGCGGUCAAACUUUAUCUUCUAAUAGAUUUAAUCUUAUAGAUAAUGAACGAAAAUUAACUUAUUUAAAUAGAUUUUAUUGAUAUGAAAUUCUUAUAUUAUUUUGUUAUUUUUAAAUGAUAUUCUUUUAUUACAAAAUUAGAUUAAAAACUAGGAUUAGAUACCCUAUUAUUCUAUCUAUUCAUUCUUGUUUGGAGAAGAUUUAUUUUCUUUAAUAUAAAGCCAGGUGGCUGUUAAAGUUUUUUAGAGAAGCAUGUAGUUAGACGAAAUUGCACGAAAAUCUUAUCUUUUUUAAAUUAUGUCGUCCACCGCCGUCUGAAGAUAGAAUUAAACGGUUCAACUUUUUCUAUUUGGAUAUAAGUCAGGUAAAGGCGCGCAUUAUAAAAAGGUUUAUAUGUGCCUCUUUUUUGUUUUUAAUGGAUAUUUUUUUAUAAAUUUAUUGAAAUUGAAUCUAACAGUAAAGAUAAACACAAAAUUGUCUUGAAUUAUAAACUUUAAGGUACAAAUUGCCCGUCAAUCCUUCUUAAAGGAUAAGUCGUAACAAAGUUGAUUUACCGGAAGGUGAAUCAUUAUUAGA